rnacentral:rRNA from 1 species
UUGAGAUCAAGCGUCUGAAGGGCAUCUGGUGGAUGCCUUGGCACUGAGAGGCGAUGAAGGACGUAGCACGUUGCGAUAAGUCACGGGGAGCCGCGAGCAGGCAUUGAUCCGUGAAUUUCCGAAUGGGGAAACCCACCGCGCAAGCGGUAUCCCAACCUGAAUUCAUAGGGUUGGGAAGCGAACCCGGCGAACUGAAACAUCUAAGUAGCCGGAGGAAAGGACAUCAACCGAG